UACGAAGGGGGCUAGCGUUGCUCGGAAUCACUGGGCGUAAAGGGUGCGUAGGCGGGUCUUUAAGUCAGGGGUGAAAUCCUGGGAGCUCAACUCCAGAACUGCCUUUGAUACUGAAGAUCUUGAGUUCGGGAGAGGUGAGUGGAACUGCGAGUGUAGAGGUGAAAUUCGUAGAUAUUCGCAAGAACACCAGUGGCGAAGGCGGCUCACUGGCCCGAUACUGACGCUGAUGCACGAAAGCGUGGGGAGCAAACAGG
rnacentral:rRNA from 1 species